UACGGAGGAUGCGAGCGUUAUCCGGAUUUAUUGGGUUUAAAGGGUGCGUAGGCGGGCUUUUAAGUCAGCGGUAAAAAUUCGGGGCUCAACCCCGUCCGGCCGUUGAAACUGGAGGUCUUGAGUGGGCGAGAAGAAGGCGGAAUGCGUGGUGUAGCGGUGAAAUGCAUAGAUAUCACGCAGAACCCCGAUUGCGAAGGCAGCCUUCCGGCGCCCUACUGACGCUGAGGCACGAAAGUGCGGGGAUCGAACAGG
rnacentral:rRNA from 1 species